rnacentral:misc_RNA from 1 species
CCUUAAUCGAAUUCAAUACCGUUCCUUUACACAAUUUUGUGUUCUCGAAUCCGAAAUAUUAGAUUUUGUUUCUGAUCCAUCCUUAAUGGCCACUGAAGAUCCAGCCGCUGCUGUUGAGGCCAAUACUGAGCCGGCCACCACUGAGCCUGCAGAGGAAACACCGGCCACCAAGACCGCUAAGGCCAAAAAGGCUAAGGAACCCAAAGCCAAA